GGCCCCUUAGCUCAGUUGGUUAGAGCAGUCGACUCAUAAUCGAUUGGUCGCUGGUUCAAGUCCAGCAGGGGCCACCA
rnacentral:tRNA from 19 species